rnacentral:ncRNA from 1 species
GGAAGGUUUCUUCAGGGUGACGCUAACGAGAAGCCUUUGUGGCCCCGCAAGGGGUACCCACCGCGACUGUAAAAAAUGGAUGUGGGUAUUAAAUCGCAAGUCGGCUGCAGCUGUAGCCGGCUACACUUUCGAAUUGCGGGGACACCCUAAAGCCCACCUCUACCAACCAGCUGGGGAAAUCCGGUUUGGGGCCUGUGUUAACAGCACAGGGUAUGGUAAUAAUGAGGUGGGAUACGUCAGCUUCUUCGGGCUGGCAUGAUGGGCAAUCCGCAGCCAAGUCCCUAAGGCCCCAUCAGGCUAUGGGAAAGGUUCACAGACUAAGUGGAAGUGGGCUGAGGUUUGGCAAACCAAACCUGAGCUUAAGAUAUAGUCGGGCUGUUUGCGAGAGCGAAUGGGAGUCACAAACCG